rnacentral:tRNA from 1 species
GCCUGGCUGGCUCAGUCAGUAGAGCAUGUGACUCUUGAUCUCAGAGUUGUGAGUUCAAGCCUCAUAUUGAGCA